UGGGUCAUUAGAGGAAGUAAAAGUCGUAACAAGGUUUCCGUAGGUGAACCUGCGGAAGGAUCAUUAUUGAGUGAACGAAACUUGUGGCUGGAUGCUGUUGUGCUGGCCCUUUUGUGGGCAACGUGCACGCCUUCUGGCUGUCUGUUUCUUCUGUUCCACCUGUGCACCACCUGUAGACACACUCUGUGUCUAUGAUAAUGUUGAUACACUGUCACAUACAUAUGAAAUAUGGGUUGCAUGCAUAUAUAUAAUGUGUAGCAAAAAACAAGUACAACUUUCAACAACGGAUCUCUUGGCUCUCGCAUCGAUGAAGAACGCAGCGAAAUGUGAUAAGUAAUGUGAAUUGCAGAAUCCAGUGAAUCAUCGAAUCUUUGAACGCAUCUUGCGCUCCUUGGCAUUCCGAGGAGCAUGCCUGUUUGAGUGUUGUUAAACCAUCAAAACACAUUUCUUGGAUGUGUUUUGGACAUUGGGAGCAGUCUGCUGGCCUGCUUGGGGCCAGCUCUCCUCAAAAGCAUUGGCUUGGAGACUGAUCGGCGUGAUAGUCUGUUUACGUCGACUUUGAGUUCUCUGCUUCUCCUUUCUUUGACCUCAAAUCAGGUAGGACUACCCGCUGAACUUAAGCAUAUCAAU
rnacentral:rRNA from 1 species